rnacentral:rRNA from 1 species
UACAGAGGUCUCAAGCGUUGUUCGGAUUCAUUGGGCGUAAAGGGUGUGUAGGCGGCGCGGUAAGUCGGGUGUGAAAUCUCGGAGCUUAACUCCGAAACUGCAUUCGAUACUGCCGUGCUUGAGGACUGGAGAGGAGACUGGAAUUUACGGUGUAGCGGUGAAAUGCGUAGAUAUCGUAAGGAAGACCAGUGGCGAAGGCGGGUCUCUGGACAGUUCCUGACGCUGAGGCACGAAGGCCAGGGAGCAAACGGG